UACGUAGGGUGCGAGCGUUGUCCGGAAUUACUGGGCGUAAAGGGCGCGUAGGCGGUUCGCUAAGUUGGAUGUGAAAACUCUGGGCUCAACCCAGAGCCUGCAUCCAAAACUGGCGGGCUAGAGUUCUGGAGGGGUAGCGGAAUUCCUGGUGUAGCGGUGAAAUGCGUAGAUAUCAGGAGGAACACCGGUGGCGAAGGCGGCUACCUGGACAGAAACUGACGCUGAGGCGCGAAAGCUAGGGGAGCAAACAGG
rnacentral:rRNA from 1 species